UGGGGAAUUUUGGACAAUGGGCGCAAGCCUGAUCCAGCAAUGCCGCGUGCAGGAUGAAGGCCUUCGGGUUGUAAACUGCUUUUGUACGGAACGAAAAAGCUCUCUCUAAUACAGGGGGUGAAUGACGGUACCGGGAGAAGAAGCUGCGGCUAACUACGUGCCAGCAGCCGCGGUAAUACGUAGGCAGCAAGCGUUGUUCGGAGUUACUGGGCGUAAAGAGUGCGUAGGCGGUUUUCUAAGUUCGGUGUGAAAUCUCCCGGCUUAACGGGGAGGGUGCGCCGAAUACUGGGAAGCUGGAGUGGGGGAAAGGCAGGCGGUAUUCCUGGUGUAGCGGUGAAAUGCGUAGAUAUCAGGAGGAACACCAGCGGUGUAGACGGCUUGCUAGACCAUAACUGACGCUGAGGCACGAAAGCGUGGGUAGCAAACA
rnacentral:rRNA from 1 species